GCCGGUGUAGCUCAGUUGGCUAGAGCGCCUGACUGUGGAUCAGGAGGCCUCGGGUUCGAGUCCCGACAUCGGUA
rnacentral:tRNA from 1 species